GACGAACGCUGGCGGCGUGCUUAACACAUGCAAGUCGAACGGAGUGGCGAACGGGUGAGUAACACGUGGGUGACCUGCCCUGCACUUCGGGAUAAGCCUGGGAAACUGGGUAUAAUACCGGAGAGUGGUGGAGGGGCCCGCGGCCUAUCAGCUUGUUGGGGGGGUAAUGGCCUACCAAGGCGGCGGCGGGUAGCCGGCCUGGGAGGGUGGACGGCCACAUUGGGACUGAGACACGGCCCAGACGGCUACGGGGGGCAGCAGUGGGGAAUAUUGCACAAUGGGCGGAAGCCUGAUGCAGCGACGCCGCGUGGGGGAUGACGGCCUUCGGGUUGUAAACUCCUUUCACCAUCGACGCGGUAGAUGGAGAAGAAGCACCGGCUAACUACGUGCCAGCAGCCGCGGUAAUAC
rnacentral:rRNA from 1 species